UGGAUAGCUCAGUUGGAUAGAGCUCAGUGCUGAUAACACCAAGGUUUCAGGUUCGAUCCCUGUAUGGGACAG